rnacentral:rRNA from 1 species
AUUGAACGCUGGCAGCAGGCCUAACACAUGCAAGUCGAGCGAGCGUCGGACGGGUGAGUAAUGUCUGGGAAACUGCCUGAUGGAGGGGGAUAACUACUGGAAACGGUAGCUAAUAACGCAUACCAUCAGAUGUGCCCAGAUGGGAUUAGCUAGUAGGUGGGGUAACGGCUCACCUAGGCGACGAUCCCUAGCUGGUUUGAGAGGAUGACCAGCAACACUGGAACUGAGCCAGGGUCCAGCCUCCACCGGAAGGCAGCAGGGGGGAUUAUUGCCCAAUGGGCGCAAGCUUGCUGAAGCCAUGCGGCGUGUGUGAAGCAGCCCUUCGGUUUUUAAAGCACUUUCAUCGGGGAGGCGGUACCCGCAGAAGAAGCACCGGCUAACUACGUGCCAGCAGCCGCGGUAAUUC